rnacentral:rRNA from 1 species
UACGUAGGGUGCAAGCGUUAAUCGGAAUUACUGGGCGUAAAGCGUGCGCAGGCGGCUUUGCAAGACAGAUGUGAAAUCCCCGGGCUCAACCUGGGAACUGCAUUUGUGACUGCAAGGCUGGAGUACGGCAGAGGGGGAUGGAAUUCCGCGUGUAGCAAGUGAAAUGCGUAGAUAUGCGGAGGAACACCGAUGGCGAAGGCAAUCCCCUGGGCCUGUACUGACGCUCAUGCACGAAAGCGUGGGGAGCAAACAGG